AGCAAGUUAUUGUUAGGGCAGGGAGGAGGACAGUACACUUGUUAUCAGGUAUCGUAUAUAUACAUGCUGUGCUCAUCUCCCUCAUUAAUUCCAGAUCAACACUACAGACUAAGAAGGUAAGAAGGAUAUUGUCAGACUAUUUUUACAGUACUUUUAGUCAUAUAUAUAUCGACACGCACACAUUCAUUAUCAUUAAUUAUUUUUUUAUUACUGUCAGUUUGAUAAAGACACAAAGAUGGUAUCCCGCACGUUGGUUCUGAUCAUGUUUUUAGGUGCCCUCUGUGUUGCCCAGGCACUGAGGUGCAACUACUGCCAGAAGAUUGACAAAGACCAUCCCACCUGUAAUGAGAUAGAGGAGAAAGAAUGCAGCAGUGGAUUUGACAAUUGCAUUACAAUCAAAAUGCAUCAUCCAGCCUGUGAGUUGACCAUAUUCUUUUCCUCAUAUGUUGAAACUGAUAAAAAUAGGAUAGUUCCUUAUUUAAGUUCUAUUGCAUGUGUAAACUGAGAUUUAGUUGCAUCAGUUGAUGGAGUGCAAUCAUUUGUUGUGAGUAUUAUUUAAUUUGUGAAAGCUAUUCUGCAUUUCUUCUUGUAGAUGGUGAGGUGCGCAGAUGUGCCAAAACUAAUGAGUGUGAUGCUCAGGUGCCUCCUCAGGUGGAGAAAGUGUGCUGCAACACAGAUCUCUGCAACUGAUCUGCUUCAUCAGCCAAAUAUAUUUUACAAUGAUCUGUUUUUAUCUCAUGCUACAUAAAAUGUUCAAAACAUACAGCUAUCAUUGUUAUUAAUUGACUUUAAUUUAAUAUAUGUAAAUGCAAGUAGAGAAUAAUAUAAAGAAAUAAACUCUGGCCAGCAAAACAAAAAACAAUGAUGAUUCUUUGUGUUUUCUAAAACAUUUUAUCUUCUUGUACAU
rnacentral:lncRNA from 1 species